rnacentral:rRNA from 1 species
UACGGGGGGAGCAAGCGUUGUUCGGAUUUACUGGGCGUAAAGGGCGCGUAGGCGGCCACUGCAAGUCGGUUGUGAAAUCUCCGGGCUUAACCCGGAAAGGUCAAUCGAUACUGCAGGGCUAGAGUGCAGAAGGGGCAACUGGAAUUCUCGGUGUAGCGGUGAAAUGCGCAGAUAUCGGGAGGAACACCGGUGGCGAAGGCGGUUCUCUGGGCCUUACCUGACGCUGAGGAGCGAAAGCGUGGGGAGCGAACAGG